rnacentral:lncRNA from 10 species
AGUUGUCCUUGACUGCAUGGUUUCUGCUGGUCCAAGCAAACUUCUCCUGCCACGCCUAACCUUGGAGAGCAGUGAUCAAUGGAGGAAGUGUUUCAUGGUGGACAUGGGAAACUGGCCAGAUCAACUGCUGUCACCUUCUAAGACCCAGACGGGGAGGAGGAAUGCCAGAGAAGCUGCAGACUCUCCGGCCACGGAGCCUGAGUGGAGCAGAGGUGGCCCACUGUCAGCCACAGGUCAAGUGUCAGGGUGGGGACGGGGCAGGCUCCACCAGAAGGCGGGGGCAGGCUCCACCAGAAGGCGGGGCCAGACCACAGGGCAAGGUGGAGAUGAGUCUGUGGCACCCCCAGGAAGUUUACCAGAUUUGCCCCAGAGCUUCUGACCCUUUGGAUCUCUCUGGGCUGCAUUCUUCAGGGUCCCAUUGCUUCUUUCUUGAAGGUGGAAGGAAAUGUUCCCAUCAGAGCCUUCCAACAGGCCACCUUGGGGGCUUCUCCUGAGAGCUCCUUGUGCACACACCCCUUCAGGGUGGCUUGGGUUGCGCCCUCAGACCCCAGUGGGGGGCCGUAUGGCAUCCUCCUUGGUCAGCAAGUGAGCCACAGCAGCAGGCCCCUCACAGACCUCAGCCUGGGGCCACAGGUCCCUUCUCCCCAUCUCCGCAUCUGGAGAAGCAACCUGUGGAGCAGCCAAGAGUGGCAGCCCUGGCUCUCUACAGCAUUCAUUUUCAGGGCAAGACAGAGCAUUUCCACUAUUAUGCUCCCCCCCCCGGCCUUUUUUUUUUUUUUUUGAGACAGGGUCUCACUCUGUUGCCCAGGCUGGAGUGCGGUGGCGCAAUCAUGGCUCACUGCAGCCUCGACCUUCUGGGGUCAAGUGAUCCUCCCAAUUCAGCCUCCAAAUUUCUUUAAACAAAAAAAAAUGCAAGAAAGGCAAAACAAGAUAUUUAUCUGGGCUGAGAGGGUAAAGAGAAGCUCUAUCUUUGAGCUGAGACACAAAAUGGAAAGAAGAGGCAGCAGCAGCGGCAGUAGCAGUUCUGCCUUUCCAAACCUUCCCUAUCUAAGUGCUUUCAAGAUAUGCUGAAAGUCAUGAAUUGAAGUGUGGUUCCCACGGCUUUAGUCCUUGUAUGAAGGUCCUUUUGCUAGAACUUACUUCCUUUCCAGCCCAUAUGGUUGACCUGGGGGUCCAGGCAGUUCUCAAGGGAACCACAGGAUUCCAUGUGAUCUGGGAUCCCAGUUGAUGAUCCCUCUUCUGGUCACAAGCUGAAUUGGACCCAAAUCUGCACCCUAAACUCCCCUCUUGCCAGAUCCUGCCCAGUCAGUGCCGUCCCCUCAGACUGGGUGGGCAGCCUGGGCUUCCUGCUGAGACGGGACCCCCCCCUCUCUUCUUGAUCUCACUCCCAGGAAAGACACUGAAGGAGCAGAGGUGUGGACGCCACAUACUGGACGGGGUUUCACCAUCUGCUGGGACGGGACACCCUCUCUUCUUGAUCUCACUCCCAGAAAAGACACUGAAGGAGCAGAGGUGUGGACGCCUCAUACUGCACAGUACCUGCAGAUCCAAGGCUAACCCAGCCCAGGGGCAGAGGAGGACACCAGAAGUAAGGAAUGCAGGAAGGAACUACAAGACCUGAGGCAGCAGGGACGCUCCCACAGGACCUCCGCUACAAACAGCAGGGAACAGGCCAGGCGCAGGGGCUCACACCUGUAAUCCCAGCACGUUGAGAGGCCGAGGCCGGAGGAUCACUUGAGGUCAGGAGUUUGAGACCAGCCUGGCCAAAUGGCGAAACCCUGUCUGUACCAAAAAAUACAAAAAUUAGCCUGACGUGGUGGCGCACGCCUGUAGUCCCAGCUACUUGGGAGGCUGAGGCUGGAGAAUCACUUGAACCUGGGAGGUGGAAGUUGCAGUGAGCCGGGAUCACACCACUGCACUUCAGCCUGGGUGACAGAGAGAGACUCCAUCUCAAACAAAAACCAAAAAACAAAAACCAGCAGGGAAUAGAAGCUGAAGUAGCAGGAAAACCGAGAGGAGGAGGACUUUGUCAGCAUGAGAGGGAACAGACAGAGAGAAGGACCUGCUAUUCAAGGCCCAAAACUGAGAUGCACAUCUACUGGGGAACCUGCUCUGGGGCUUUGGGAGAACAGUCUGGUCUCUAGAGGCUCCCUAUUCACCUUUAAGACCCAGGGCAGUCCAGGCAUGGUGGCUCACGCCUGUAAUCCCAGCACUUUGGGAAGCCAAGACAGGUGGAUCACUUGAGGUCAGGAGUUCGAGACCAGCCUGGCCAACAUGAUGAAACUCUGUCUCCCCUAAAAAUACAAAAAUUAGCCAGGCGUGGUGGCGGGCACCUGUAAUCCCAGCUACCUGGGAGGCUGAGGCAGGAGAAUCGCCUGAACCUGAGUGGCAGAGAUUGCAGUGAGCCGAGAUCAUGCCACUGCACUCCAGCCUGAGCAACAAGAGUGAGAAUCUAUCUUAAAAAACAAAAAACAAACAAACAAACAAAACAGGACAGAGGAGAGCUAAGGUGGCCCAAAAGAGCUUCCAAAUUUACUGAAUGCCACUAAACUCUCACUUAAAAAUGGUUAAAGUGGCCAAUUUUUUUUUUUUUUUUUUGAGACUGGGUUUUGCUAUUUUUGCCCAGGCUGGAGUGCAAUGGUGCAAUCUGGG